GAUGGACAUUAUUGCCCCAUUAACA
rnacentral:tRNA from 1 species